GAGACUAACAGCGGAUCACUUCGCAGAGGCUAAGCGUUGGUCUUGGCAGACAGCAAUCCACCUAUACACAGUCCAUGGACAGACUGUCAGCGUGUAUACAGCCUUCGCAUGAAGAGUAUCAAAGGAAGAGGGAGCAACUAUUUCGAGACACUGCUCCAGGGGCUCCUCUCGCGACAUUAUCAUGGCGGUCCAUCUCGAUCUAAACCUGGGAUCGAGCAUGAACAGCAGACGACUUCCGCAGAUUUUUCUGCCGCUGAAAUUUGUCAAGAAAGCCAGAAGUGACGAAAGGGCAGCAUGUCUAAAAAUAGCGUCGUCUAUAUGAGCUGAAUUUGAAGAGAAAAGUUGCAAUCCUCGGUAAAAUAAAACAGACCAGGAAACACAAUGUGCUGUUGCUGAAUGUUCUUUUUUGACACUCAGAUGGAGUUUGUAAUCAUUGUCAUUUCCUAAAGAUACAAACGGCAGUUGAUUAUAUUUUUUCAGAGAAGUCUGGUUUGUUCAAGCGUGCCAUGCAAACUUCGUCCCCACACUAUACUCAAAGAUUUGCUCAAAACAUUUCAAAGGUGAUUGCUAUCCAGUCACUUGGUCUAGGCAAGUCUUUACUUUCGGUAAAAUGACGAGGUCUUCUUCUGCCAACUAUACAAAAGCACGAGCUGUUAAAACUAACUGAUUACCGGUAAAAAGCUUAAAAAAAGA